GACAUGGAACCUGAGAUACUGAAUCCAGGAUCGCCGGCCAGACACAGAGCACCAGAGAAAUGCCUGGGACUACACAUUGGAUGGACAGACCACCUCAGUGAAAUAGAAUUGAGAAGGAAGAAUAAUAUUGUGCAGUGGCCAUUGUUUAGUACUCUGUUGGGGAAUGUGGAAAGAUCUGGCAACUUCUGUCUUUGACAGCAGUCAUGUGUAGGGAAGAUGGAGGCAAAGCACUUGGGAAGGUUCACCAACGGAAUCCUGUUAAGGAUGAAAAGAAAAAUAAAGAUUAAAUUAUAGCAGGGAAA